AAAGAGGAAUAAAAACCGUGAAAAGAUCUUAACAGCUGAAUACAGCAAAAAGAAAGAAAUAUUGUGCGUUUAUAAAGUAAAAGUGUGUUAAGUGCCAAUCUCAAUUGAUUGGCGGUUAGUACCGGCUUAAACUUCGGGCAAUCGUUUGGGUACCUGUCUGAACCCCAAUACGAAAGCUCGCAACAACAGUUUCCCCGAUAUUAGGGCCUCCGCCCGCGGCAAGGGACUUAUGCUCCUCGCCCAACUACAGCUCCGUACCAAAAAUUCCCAGCGCUAGGCCGAGCAGCACAAAGCGGGAGGCGUAAAAGAUCGGCUCAUCAGUCGCUUUGCGGGCGCGAGCCACUUAUGUGUCACGGACCCGCGAUAUAUUGGAGGCCGUCCAAUUCUGCGGAAAUUAUUAAAGCUAUGUAAACGGUCAACCAAUUUCUACCCGAAAUAUAGAUCUGGGUCUCGACCUAUUUUCGUUUCCCCAUACGAAGUGCCGAGGAGUGCCCAGAUGUGAAGCCGGCGGCAACGACUGUCGUUUUUUUUUAUAUCCAUCAGUGUAACCGCUGAUUCCUAUUUUUAUGCUAUAGUGUCAUUAGUGUAAUUAGCUUAGUAAAUUUCUUUUGGUUGUGUUUUUAAAUUCUGUUCGGAAGAAAUAGCAAGUGGAAUGUGUGACAGGGCGAAAGUGAACAACGGUUAAACGGCAGAGGAGAGCGUGAGCUUUUUUUUUGUAAAAGUAUUUCUCCAGCUUUCGUUUUAGGAACGUUGCCGCAGUCCAUGGAAGCGCUUUCAUCGCUUCUUCAACGCAUUUAUUAAAACAAAUCAAAGGAAGGCCGUAAGUGAUCCCAAAACAUAAAGAUAAAACAUUGGAGUUUGUUUGUUAUGAGCAACUAUUUAUUGCAUGACCAAAAAAAAAAAAAACCUCACGUAGUCAGGGGCUUCGUCGCUUAAGAGAGGCUGUGCGCUCUCCCUUAUGCCCUGCUGGCAACCAUAAGCGCUUACGCCGCGCAUAAGAACCAGCCCUCUUAAGAACAAGGCACAAAAGGGAAGAUGCGAGGCUGGUCGCUCUGACGUUCUUUUAUGCUUUCUACUUGCGGUUGCUUUCGCUAAUGCACUUGAAUAACUGACCUGCCAUAACGAUCGCGGCGCACAGUUUUUACAUUCCCUUUUGCAUA